GACGAACGCUGGCGGCGUGCCUAACACAUGCAAGUAGAACGCUGAAGAGAGGAGCUUGCUCUUCUUGGAAGAGUUGCGAACGGGUGAGUAACGCGUAGGUAACCUGCCUUGUAGCGGGGGAUAACUAUUGGAAACGAUAGCUAAUACCGCAUAACAAUGGGUGACCCAUGUCAUUCAUUUGAAAGGGGCAACUGCUCCACUACAAGAUGGACCUGCGUUGUAUUAGCUAGUAGGUGAGGUAACGGCUCACCUAGGCGACGAUACAUAGCCGACCUGAGAGGGUGAUCGGCCACACUGGGACUGAGACACGGCCCAGACUCCUACGGGAGGCAGCAGUAGGGAAUCUUCGGCAAUGGGGGCAACCCUGACCGAGCAACGCCGCGUGAGUGAAGAAGGUUUUCGGAUCGUAAAGCUCUGUUGUAAGUCAAGAACGAGUGUGAGAGUGGAAAGUUCACACUGUGACGGUAGCUUACCAGAAAGGGACGGCUAACUACGUGCCAGCAGCCGCGGUAAUACGUAGGUCCCGAGCGUUGUCCGGAUUUAUUGGGCGUAAAGCGAGCGCAGGCGGUUUGAUAAGUCUGAAGUUAAAGGCUGUGGCUCAACCAUAGUUCGCUUUGGAAACUGUCAAACUUGAGUGCAGAAGGGGAGAGUGGAAUUCCAUGUGUAGCGGUGAAAUGCGUAAAUAUAUGGAGGAACACCGGUGGCGAAAGCGGCUCUCUGGUCUGUAACUGACGCUGAGGCUCGAAAGCGUGGGGAGCGAACAGG
rnacentral:rRNA from 1 species